rnacentral:rRNA from 1 species
GUAGGAUUAGCUAGUUGGCGGGGUAACGGCCCACCAAGGCGACGAUCCUUAGGGGUUCUGAGAGGAAGGUCCCCCACACUGGCACUGAGAUACGGGCCAGACUCCUACGGGAGGCAGCAGUAGGGAAUAUUGGGCAAUGGUCGGAAGACUGACCCAGCCAUGCCGCGUGCAGGAAGACGGCCUAUUGGGUUGUAAACUGCUUUUAUACGGGAAGAAAAGGCCCAUGCGUGGGACAUUGCCGGUACCGUAUGAAUAAGCACCGGCUAACUCCGUGCCAGCAG